CUUCCGGCUGAACUGAUCUUAAGACAGGAA
rnacentral:piRNA from 1 species